rnacentral:tRNA from 1 species
GGACUUGUAGCUCAAUGGCAGAGCAGCCAGUCGUAUUACAAACUUGGUUUCUUGCAGGUUCAAAUCCUGCCAUGUCCU